GAUGAACGCUGGCGGCGUGCCUAAUACAUGCGAGUCGAGCGAACAGACGAGGAGCUUGCUCCUCUGACGUUAGCGGCGGACGGGUGAGUAACACGUGGAUAACCUACCUAUAAGACUGGGAUAACUUCGGGAAACCGGAGCUAAUACCGGAUAAUAUAUUGAACCGCAUGGUUCAAUAGUGAAAGACGGUUUUGCUGUCACUUAUAGAUGGAUCCGCGCCGCAUUAGCUAGUUGGUAAGGUAACGGCUUACCAAGGCAACGAUGCGUAGCCGACCUGAGAGGGGGGUCGGCCACACUGGAACUUAGACACGGUCCCGACUCCUACGGGAGGCAGCCGGAGGGAAUCUUUCGCAAUGGGCGAAAGCCUGACGGAGCAACCCCGCGUGAGUGAUGAAGGUCUUCGGAUCGGUAAACUCCGUUAUUAGGGAAGAACAAAUGGGGAAGUAACUAUGCACGUCUUGACGGUACCUAAUCAGAAAGCCACGGCUAACUACGUG
rnacentral:rRNA from 1 species